rnacentral:rRNA from 1 species
UACGAAGGGGGCUAGCGUUGCUCGGAAUCACUGGGCGUAAAGCGCACGUAGGCGGAUUGCUAAGUCAGGGGUGAAAUCCUGGAGCUCAACUCCAGAACUGCCUUUGAUACUGAAGAUCUUGAGUUCGGGAGAGGUGAGUGGAACUGCGAGUGUAGAGGUGAAAUUCGUAGAUAUUCGCAAGAACACCAGUGGCGAAAGCGGCCGGCUGGGCCUGUACUGACGCUGAGGCGCGAAAGCGUGGGGAGCGAACCGG